ACAGGAUUCUGGAAUUCAUGAAUUUUUCACCUUCGUGUCUUUGUACCUGCUUUUCGCUUUCCCCAAUUAAUGUGUGCUCAGUGCUUUAGACGAAGCCCGGGAUUAUCCCUGCCCCUGCGCCACGGAUCUGGCUAUAGGGCUCCUCCUCUGCCUUCCCACAGCUUUCCAUUACUACCUCUCCGAGAGAGCCUCUCCACUCAGGGACUAACUUAUCUGCCUCUACUCUGUGAUCACCAGCUUCUAAAGGUAAGAACUCUCUCAUAUUUAAUUACUGUGCUCACCAGAUAGCAGACAGCCUACUAUGUAGCAAAUCCUCAAUAGGUAGCUGUUCACCGGAUAAAUGAUUGAGUAAACCCAUGGGAAGGAAAGCUUUGAUGGCAACUUAAGGAAUUCAGACUUUAUCCUUCAGGCCAUAGGGGCAGCAGAAUGAAAUGGGAGGCAUGUGUGCGAUUUUGGAACUCUGCUCCAAUGGCCGGUAUGAGAGAGAGACCCUGGAAACUGGGAAAGCCCAGAAGUGGGAAGCCUUGUCAGGAGGCUUCGAGCCAGCAGUGCCCAGUGAGGGUCCCUGCCCUGUCCUGAAAUGGUUAAGGUGGUCAAGGCACACGCCUCUGCAGAGGAGAAAUUUCCCUGUCCUUGCCUAAGUGAAUGGCUGGGAUUAAAGUGACAGCCCACCUUAGUGAUGGCGGCAUAAUUGGUUGUUCAGCUCUGUCCUUGUCAGAGCGCUGACAGUUCUGCAGAUGUCCUGCUCGGCUCUCCAAAGGUUAGCCUCAGCUGGUGCGGCUGUUCAUUAAUCAUUCCUCCCUGACAGGCCUCGGUGCAGCCCACAGCUGCCACACCAGCCCCCGCAGUCCCCGCCCCACCCGGCCUGGCUGGAGGCAGCCCACAGUCCGCUCCCCCGAGGGGCUGGUCCCCACAUGGGGAGACAGGCGGUCUGUGUCCUCUCCACCCCGCCUGCUACUAUGUCGAGCGAGAAACACUGAUAACGAAAUUUCCCCGGGUUCCUCCUUCCCAGAACUAGGGUCUGAAUCACCUUACAAGCUAUCCUGACAUCCGUGACUUUAUCGCUCCUCUCCUCCACCCUCACAGAAGCUUCUUACUGAGAGGAGGGCAACCCUAGCCCAAGAGUUCCAGAAAGACAAGAAGGCCAAUGGAUUCGGGCCACUCAUGCUGGGAAGAUACAGAGCCUGGCUUGGGGCCCGAACCCUGGGCAGAAUGUGCAUCGUAUCCAUGCUGUGAAUUCCAUAAACUGUAAAAGAUGCUUAUGAACCGCUAUUUAUGACUCAACACAGAACAUGUGUAUUUGUGCAUAGGCAGACUGGUUCUAGCCCAGAAAUAUUAAGGAAAGGACUACCCUUCCACUCCUUGGGGCAGCAAGCUGAGGAAUCUGAUUUCCUGGGCCCAAAAGAGUCCAGCCCCUCCCCGAGGCUCUCUCCCUUCCUCUUUCCCUACCAAAGUCAACAUGGUAGACUGCGUCAAGACUGGUGGAUGGGAUUCUAGUCUGAGCAAAGAGAUUAAAGGAAAGGUUGGAAGUCCAGGUAUGGGGAAAAGAGAACAGGGAGGAGAGGGACCGGCUCGGGACAGAGCAGAAACUAAAGCCUCAGUCAGCAAAUGUGGUCAGAGAGUGGAAGGUGAGGUCUUAGCUGGAACCGUGUAGGUCUGAUUAGAAAAAUCAUUUGCCUACCCCAAGCCCAAGCAUAUAGAAUGACGUUCGAAGCAUCCCCUCCCAGGUUCCAAAAUUCCUCAAGACCUCCUCCCACUUUCCCUUCUUUGUCCCCUUUUAGUUUUUCCUGAUUUUCCAGGCCCUGAUUUUGACGCUGUGACUCAUUUCUCCUUUCUCCCUUUGCUGCUUUGUUUGAUGUCCUGAACGGAUCAGACCUUGAUCCCCAGCCAACCAGAUCCAGUAUUAGGAAUUCCACCGUGGUUCCCUGCACAGCCUUCCUUCAAGAGUAAAAUCAUGUUCCCAAGGCCUGGGUCUCAGCUACAGGCUGCCAGUCGGCAUGUGCACAAUGCAGGAGUCAUCAUUUCCCCCCAUUGAUUAGCUGUCCACCCGCAAAGUUUCCAGAGGAGCAAACAAGGACACUGGGAUAUUAGCAUUCAGCUAGUCUUUUGGACUCCAAACCACAAACACCUGCAUUUUCUCAUCCAAAGACCCUAUGUACAGUCUGCCCAGAAACCAAAAGAGUCCAAGCCAAGUUCCCUCAAAAAACUCACACCUGGAUACAUAAGAGACCUUCCCCAAAACUUCCUAUGACAAUGGCCAUUUCCCAUGUUACCCACCACCUUUUCACACACACCAUUCUGCUACAGCUUCCCAGAAGCUUCUCAAGGGAGGUAAGACCAUCCCCAUUUGACACUGGCGAAAGCUGAGGUUUGGAGAGGCUAAGUGACCUGCCCAAGAACACACAGCUCAUAUAUAGUCACCCUUCCAUUCAAAACCACCCCCCUGACUUGUUUUGUCUCCUGUUUCAUCACACUGCUACUGACGGGCUUGCUGUGACUUUAAGCCAGCGCUCUUCUAGAGUGGCACCCUUGACCUUUUUGGGCCUCAUAAUUCUUUGUUGUGGGCACCAUCCUGUGCAUUGUAAGAUGUUUAGCAGCAUCCCUGGUUUCAAGCCACCGGAUGCCAGUAGCUCUCCUGCCCCAGCUGUGACACCAAAACUGUCUCCAGACGUUGCCAAAUGUCCGGAGGGUGGCCCUGUCACCUCCAGUGGAGAACUGUUGUUUUAUAUCUUCCCGUUGUUUGGCACUCUUUAAAUGUUGUCUACCUGAGGCCAGGGGUUGUUUUGCACGUGUGGGCCAGGAAUUCCUCAUUACAUGCAGAGAACUCAAGAAACAUAGCGAGGUCGGACACCCGUGGAAGACCACUGGCCAUGGUAAUGAAGAACAGGAAGGACAUUUGUUGUUUUAUUUUUUGUUGUUAUGAUUUUUAAUGUUUAUUAUUUAUUUUGAGGGGGGAGGGGCAGAGACGGACAGAGAGAAUCCCAAGCAAGCUCCACGCUCAGUGGAGAGCCCAACACAGGGUUCAAUCCCAUGACUGUGAGAUCAUGGCCUGAGCCAAAAUCAAGAGACAGAAGCUUAACCCACUGAGCCACCCUGACACCCCAAGAGGGGCGAUCUUUAGGGGCGCCUGGGUGGCUCAGUCAGUUAAGCACCUGACUCUUGAUUUUGGCUCAGGUCAUGAUCUCAGGGUUGUGUGAUCAUCCUCAAGCAGAGCACCAUGUUGGGUCCAUGCUGGGUGUAGAGCCUCCUUAAGAUUCUUUCUCUCUCCCUCUACCGUUCUCUUUCUCUAAAUAAAUAAAUAAAUAAGUAAUUUUUUUUACAAAAAAAGGACACUUUUUAGCAGAAAUCUGGAAGACAGAUACUGGGAGGAAGCAUUCAAUCAGGCAGCAGAGCCAAGCUUCUGUCUGUCCGUCUAUCCAUCAGUCCCUCCCUCUUCCGUCCACUAUAUGUCUCUUUACCCAUUCUGCAACUAUCCCCUGGUAUAAGGUCUGUGGAGGCAUUUUAUGGGACAAAAAGUCACCGUGAUUCUUUGCACAGUGCUGUGGGGGGGGGGAGGGGGUUGUUGGAGUCUUAGCUCUGCCACCCAUAGCACAACUCUUGGACGGAUCUCCAAGCUUUAGUGUCCUGAAACUAAGGAUAAUAAUACAUUCCUCGCAAAAUCACAGGGAGGACAUAAUGAGCUAAUGUAUGUGGAAAGUACUGUAGGUGCUAUACAAAUGUUAGCUAUUAGAAUGGGGGAAUGUCGGACAAGUACAAAAAUAACUAUACUAUCGGGCAUUAAGUGUUAAAAGAUACAAUAAAAAAUGAGCAAAAGAUUUGAACAAGGAGUUCACAGAAAAAGAAAUGCAAAUGGCCAAUAAUAUAAAAAGAUGUUCAAACUCACUAGGUAUUUAGGAAAAUGCAAGUGAAAAUGAUAACAUGCCAUUUGUCACCCAGAAGAUAGGCAAACGUAAAAUCUUUGCAUGUAACAUCUAAAGCCUGGUGGGUGUAUGAGGACACAGGCACACCCUUACUUCACAGAUGAGCCAAUCACCACCUCCUAUCUGGUAGAAACUAUAAGAAUUAAACACGUUGGGGCACCUGGAUGGCUCAGUUGGUUAAGUGUCCAACUCUUGACUUUGGCUCAGGUCAUGAUCUUGCAGUUUGUGAGUUUGAAUCCCACAUUGGGCUCUGCACUGACAGCAGGGAGCCUGCUUGGAAUUCUCUCUCUCCCUCUCUCUCUCUCUCUCUCUCUGCCCGUCCCCCACUGUGCAUGCGCAUGAGCGCUCUCUCUCUCAAAAUAAAGAAAUAAACUUAAAAAAAAUGGAAUUAAACAUGUCAUAUCUUUUGACCAAGAAACCAUGUUUGUGACCCUUUCCACAGAAACAUAAGCACCAUUGUAAAAUAUACAUACAUAUAUACAUAUAUGUAUAUAUAGAUUGAAGACCAGAAAACAUCAAGGGCUGAAUAAACAUAUCGAACAUUAUGAAGCCAUAGGAUGAACUAAAUAGAUGUGAAUUGACAUGAAGGAAUGCUCAUAAUAUAUUAAGUUUUUGUAUGUAUAAAGAUUGUAUAUGUAUAAAGAUUGAAGACCAGAAAACAUCAAGGGUUGAAUAAACAUAUCGAACAUUAUGAAACCAUAGGAUGAACUAAAUAGAUGUGAAUUGACAUGAAGGAAUGCUCAUAAUAUAUUAAGUUUUUAAAAAAGGUAAUUGUGUAUAUACAUAGUAUGAUCCCAUUUAUUUUUUUAAAGUUUUUUUUUUAAUGUUUAUUUAUUCUUGAGACGGAGAGAGAUAGAGCAUGAGUGGGGGAGAGGCAGAGAGAGAAGGAGACACAGAAUCAGAAGCGGGCUCCAGGCUCCGAGCUGUCAGCACAGAGCCUGAUGCGGAGCUCGAACUCACAAGCUGUGAGAUCAUGACCUGAGCCAAAGUACGAUGCUUGACUGACUGAGCCACCCAGGUGCCCCAGUAUGAUCCCAUUUGAAAAAGAGAAGAAAAACCCUUUAUGUGUGUGAGUAUAUGAAUGAAUAUGUUAGUGCGAGCACAUACCGGAAGGCACUGGAAGGUGCAGACAAAACAAAGCAUUACCCAAGGGGAUGCAAGGGUGAGGGGAAAACAGGAGAGGAGAACACAAAAAAUAUUAACUUUUUCCUUUAUAUGUUUCUGUCUUGUUUGACUUAUGAGAGUGAGCAUUUCUCUUUCGUAACGUGAAAGAAAGCAUUGAGGGUCCUAAGGAAGGAAAGGACAAGGGGUAAGAGAGUCUCGGGUGGGAGAUUUCUUCCGCCCUGGGACAGUGGCAGGGCUGGACUUGAAAGGGUGAGUCUACUUCAGACCUUCCAGACCCGGGGGAAGGGAGAAUCACGACAGCUGAGGAAGGAGAACUGUUCUGACCUUUAGGCCACGGAUAAGCUCAAGCCAGUGCACGAGCUGGUUGCACUGUCAGCCCCAGCUGUGCUGGACUUAAUCACAGACAGCAACCGAAUGGCCGCUGGACAGCCAGCCCUGGAGGCCGCAGAGUCAAGGAUAAGGCAAAGCUCUGGUCACCCUGAGCUUAAUCGAGCCCACACAGUGAAUGGCCAGCUGACUUCUCCACCCAGCAGCCCCUCGGAGAAAAGAAUUGCAAAGCCACUUGGAAAACCUUCCUACUUUGUCUUUACUGUUAAAGAAAUGCAAAGGUGAUGAAUUAGGCAAAUUGGUUGAUGUCAAGUUGUAUCCAUCAGAAUGAUUCAGAGCCUGGAAUGAGUAAUAGUAAUGGAGAAUAGCUGUUACUAAGAGUAACCAAAUUAGCAUUAUCGAAAAAGACAAAGGAAAAGCGGGCGGCCAGCAGGCACCCCAGCCCUGAGCCUGUCCCUGCAUCUGCACAUCCCAGCAACUGCACGGAGGCCCACCUGGAACUGGGGGGCUGCUUCUCCCCUUCAGGGCUCCUUAUGGGGCUGGGGUUUCAACACGAUCAAAGGAUGUUCGCGUCUAUUUUCUUACUUGAUCGAAUUCUAAGCACGACAGUGACAUCAACUCCGUUUCAUAGGAUGGAUAUCAAAGCUUGGCAAAGUGGAAAGGUCUGUCCAGUGCCAUGGUCAUGUAGCUGGUAGGUACCAAAAUCUAGCUUUAAACUCAGGACCCAGGAAUCUGAAUUUAGGACACAAGUCUCUGUAUUUUUUCACAGAAACGCCAUUAAAAAAGGCUGUCUAAUUUUCUCCCAAGCCAUUAGCAAUGAAAAGUAGGAAGUAGAUGGUACGUGGAAAGGCAAGGGGGGAGACUGUGAAAGACCUCGGGGGGCUGAUCACAGCUCCACAGAAACCCCCCCUUCUCGGUCCUGCCCAAGGUCAGAAGGGCUUCGUAGCCAGAUACCUGGGGACGCAGGACGUGCUUAGGAGGUUUGACCUCUUUGGUCUUUUUUUUUUUUUACAUUUAUUUGUUUUAGAGAGAGAGAGAGACAGAGCGCGAGCAGGGGAGGGGCAGAGAGAGAAGGAGGCACAGAAUGCGAAGCAGGCUCCAGGCUCUGAGCUGUCAGCACAGAGCCCAACGCAGGGCUAGAACCCAUGAACCAUGAGAUCGUGAGCUGAGCCGAAGUCAGACGCUUAACCAACUGAGCCACCCGGGCGCCCCUCUGGUCUUUUGAGCUGAAGGAGUCCUGCCCUGUUCCACAUGACCCCGACACAUCCAGGGACAGCUGACUGGCCCAGGACAGCCACAAAAGAUGACCGAGGCCAGAUUCCUUUUGUAUCAGGAACCUGAACAGGAAACAAGGAGGAAGCCAGUUGCUAGCAGGGUCGUGGCAGGUAGCUGGGUGUAUCCACUCCCUAGGCCAGCGCUAGCAAAGUACCACAAACUGAUACUUAAAACAAUGGAAACUUAUUCUCUCACAGGUGCAGAGGCUGGAAGUCAGAAAUGAAGAUGUCAGCAGAGUCAUGCUCCCUUAGAAGGCUGGACAGAAGAAUCCAGCCUAGCCUCCUAGCUGCUGGUGUUGGCUGGUGAUCCUUAACGUUCUCUGGCCCCCGACUGCAUUACUCCAGUUUCUGCCUCUAUCCUCACAUGGCCAUCUUCCCUCCAAGUGUCCUGUGUAUCUCUGUGACAUUUUUUAUGGGGACACCAGUGAUUGAAUGUAGGGCCCACCCAAAUCCAGUGUGACCUCAUGUUCCUUGAUUACAUCAGCAAAGACUACUUAUAAGUAGGGGAACCUUCACAGGUACCAGGGGUUAGAACUUCAACAUAUCUUUGGGGGGGGCACAAUUCAUCCCCCAACACUGGGCCACAGUAAUAAGGUGGGGAAGGCCUGGGGACAGCUGUCUCCAAGGCCCCCAGAGAUACCUUCAUCUUACAACUCCUUCCUGCUCUGACCACAGGGAGACUGAUGGUCAGCACACGGGCCCCUGCAAGACCCCCACUUUUGAAUUCAAAUAUCCCAAUGUAAGUUUUCUCCCAAACUUCUCCCUGUGUUUGCAAUGGUUUGAUAAAGUUAUUCCUUGCAACCAAAAUGAGCCA
rnacentral:lncRNA from 1 species